rnacentral:piRNA from 1 species
UGUGUUAUUAUGACCUUCAAGGAUGCUGU